AUGGGCAUGAUAUACGUCCCAGUUUUUAUCCUCAUGUUCUUGAUUUGCUUCUGCAACUCCGAAGAUAGCCUAACACCCACAAAACCACUCUCCCCCGGCGACAGGCUCAUCUCAGACGGUGGCAUCUUUGCUCUUGUCUUCUUCUCCCCGAAAAACUCAAGUGCAAACUCAUACAUAGGCAUAUGGUACAACAACAUCCCGGAGCGAACAUACGUGUGGGUGGCAAACCGCGACAGCCCAAUCUCUAGCAGUUCCUCUGGUAAGUUUGUUUUGACCAAAAGCUCUGAUCUUGUCUUGUUAGACUCCAAAGGAAGCACUCUUUGGACAACCACAAACAAAAUCACCACUGAAGCCGCCGGAAGUGCUGCUAUACUGCUGGACUCUGGGAACUUGGUCAUCAGGUUGCCAAAUGGCACUGAUAUAUGGCAGAGUUUCCAUCACCCAACCGACACCAUUCUCCCGAAUAUGAGUUUACCGCUUGGUAACAACAACCUCUUCAUGCACCUCGUCGCCUGGAGAGCCUUUGAUGACCCAUCUACGAGUGACUACUCUUUGGGUGGUGACUCGAGCCUCCAGAUCCUCAGGAAUUCAGGUCCCAUCAUGUUGCAAACAACUUUCAACAGAGGGGGCGAGUUCUACUUUACGUACACUGUCUCUGACGGCUCGCCAAGGACGCGCAUGAUCCUGCACUACACGGGUAUGGUAAAAUUCCUGGCGUGGAACAGCAACUCAUUAUCUUGGGAGGUUUUCUUUGAGCGGCCCGGUUCUAGCUGUGAUCGCUAUGCCUCAUGCCGCCCGUUUGGUUAUUGCGAUGCCACACAGACGGUUGCAACAUGCAAGUGCCUCGAUGGAUAUGAACCUGGUGGUCUUAACUUUUCCCUAGGAUGUCAGAGAAAGAAGGAGAUGCAUUGUGGUCAAGGAGAUAGGUUCAUUACCUUGCUUAACAUGAAGACACCCGACAAGUUCUUGUUCAUCAGGAAUAGAAGCUUUGACCAAUGCGCAGAAGAAUGCAGCCGCAACUGCUCAUGCACCGCAUAUGCUUACGCUAACCUGAGUAGUCUCAGUAUGACUGUAGAUCAGUCGAGGUGCUUAGUUUGGAUGGGGGAGCUUGUUGACACGGAGAAGCGUGGUGAUGGUCGUGGGGAGAAUCUGUACCUCCGGAUUCCCAGCUCAUCUGUCAGUAAGAAGACUGGUCCGCUGAAGAUUGCACUCCCUGUCAUGGCAAGUCUACUGAUACUUGUGUGCGUUUGUCUUGUCUGGAUACGCAAGUCAAGAGGCAAGCACCAAACCAAGGGACCCAUGAAUUUUGCAAUGAUAGAACAACUGGACAACUCUGAUGGACUAUACGAUGAGAAUUCAAAAAUUUUGUGGAUCAGCUUCAAAGAUAUUGUCCCUGCUACAGAUGGUUUCUCUGACUCCAAUGUGCUUGGCAGAGGAGGCUUUGGCGUAGUAUACAAGGGCACACUGGAAGGUGGCAAGGAAGUUGCUGUUAAAAGGCUUACCAAGUGUUCUGAUCAUGGAAUGGGGCAUUUUAGAAAUGAAGUAGUUCUUAUUGCAAAACUGCAGCACAGAAACUUAGUUAGACUUCUUGGUUACUGCAUCCAUGGAGCUGAGAAGCUUCUUAGUUACGAAUACUUGCCCAACAAAAGCUUAGACUACUUCCUAUUUGAUGAUGCUAAAAGAUUUAUGCUUGAUUGGCCAACAAGGUUUAGCAUAAUCAAAGGGGUAGCUAGAGGACUUGUGUACCUCCACCAUGAUUCUAGAAUGACGAUAAUUCACAGAGAUCUCAAAGCAAGCAAUAUCUUGUUGGAUGCGGAGAUGAGACCCAAAAUAUCAGAUUUUGGCAUGGCAAGGAUCUUUGGUGACAACCAGCAACAAGCAAAUACUAGGCAUUUUGUUGGGACAUACUAUGGGGUCUUGCUACUGGAGAUCGUAAGUGGGUUGAAGAUGAGCUCACCUCAACAUUUCCCAAACCUUAUAGAUUAUGCAUGGAACUUACUGAAAGAAGGAAACUCGAAGGAUUUCCUAGAUACUGUGCUGCUGAACAGCUGCUCGCUGCAUCAAGUGUCGUUGUGCAUCCAUAUCGCAUUAUCGUGCGUUCAGGGCAGCCCGAGUGGCAAGCCACUCAUGUCGCUAGUAGUCUCUAUGCCGGAAAACGAGGCCAUGCCACUCACGAUGCCAAGGCAGCCUUCGUAUUUCGUUGGAAGGAGACAUGAAGCGGAAGAAGCGAGGGAGGGCUCUGUUAACAGCGCGGGCCUGACGACGCUAUUAUCUCUCUCGGUUUUCUUCUUCCUCUCGACGCUAAGAACAAAGUGUAGGAGGAGGCGGCUACUCAGGCGAUUUCGACAGCUCGGUGCUGGAGAGCUAGGAAAGGAAGAUGGCGUCCAUGUUCUCGACGGCUCAGUGCUUGGCGACUUCAGCCGCGGAGGACGAGGUUAG
rnacentral:rRNA from 1 species